UGGUGUUCUUUGCUAGUUCUGGAGGUAGAGCAUCUGGGGAGGCGUUCAAAGGAAGGCGGUGCCUGUGGCCAGGCAGGCUUGCAGAGGAUCUGCCCCGUGCCGACCAGGGCGCCAGGACCCUGAAAGUCUCGUCCCAAACACCUUUGCACCUAGCCUGUGCUAAUGGACAUACAGAUGUUGUACUUUUCCUAAUUGAGCAACAAUGCAAAAUAAAUGUCCAGGAUAGUGAAAACAAAUCCCCAUUGAUUAAGGCAGUACAGUGUCAAAAUGAGGAUUGUGCUACUAUUCUUCUAAACUGUGGUGCUGACCCAGAUCUGAGGGAUAUUCGUUAUAAUACUGCUCUUCACUAUGCUGUUUGUGGUCAAAGUUUGUCAUUAGUUGAAAAACUGCUUGAAUACGAAGCUGAUAUUGAAGCAAAAAAUAAGGAUGGGUAUACUCCACUAUUAGUUGCCGUUAUUAACAAUGAUCCAAAAAUGGUAAAAUUUCUUCUGGAGAAAGGGGCUGAUGUGAAUGCUUCAGAUAACUAUCAAAGAACAGCCCUUAUUCUUGCUGUCAGUGGUGAACCAGCAUGUUUAGUAAAGCUUCUUCUUCAGCAAGGUGUGGAAUUAUAUUACGAAGGUAUUUGUGGAUUCACAGCCGAGGAAUAUGUUUAUUUCCAUGGUUUUACCGUAUACCCACAAUUCACUGCGAGCUAUGGAAAGAAGAAACAUGCUAAAUAGACACCUUAUUCUUGGCACUACAUGUGACUAAAGGAAGUUUGGAGCUUAUUCUUGGGGACUAUUCUAAGCCUGAGGAACCAACAACCCACGGGCUGGAACUUGCAUCAGGCAAACAAGACACCUGGAACACAAAUUUUAAGGAUAUCCUUACUCUCAGGUGCUGACCCACACUUGCAGGAGCCUGUAAGUACCAGGCUCUUGGAGCCUUUCAUUCUUCAGCAUUUAGAAGGCAGAGUGUCACUCUGGUAACCCAGGAUGAGUGCAGAGGUACAAUCAUGGAUCACUGCAGCCUCAACCUUCUAGGUUAAAUCAAUCCUCCCACCUCAGCCUCCCAAGUAGCUGGGACUAGAGUUGCGCGCCACGCCAUCUGGGUGUAAAACACACAAAUCAAUCCCAAUACUUUGAAGUCAAGAGGAGGAUCCACAAAGAAUUCAAAUAACCUAUUGAAAUUGCAGGAGAAGAUGAGGAAAAUGAAACCCAGAGUGUUCCAGUGAUGGGCCUCGAUUCACUCAGCUUCAAGUCGGCCAGACUCCAAUGUGCAGGCUCAGUCAGUCAGACUUGGUAUUUGUCUUUCUGGAUCAUGCUGGGAUAUGAUUCUCAUUGUGGACAGAAUAACAACAAGAAGACCUUGAGAAUAAGCAUCCGUUUGUGAGCCCCAAGGGCGAAGAAGCUUUCCUGAAGCAACAACAGGAACAGGAAGCAAAAAGGAUUUGAAAUGAAAUAGCAAGGGUCUCACACUGUAACUCAGGCUGGAGUGCAGUGGAGCCAUCUCAACUUACUGCCAGCUCCGCCUCCCGGGUUCAAGAGAGUCUCCUGCCUCAGCCUCAGUAGUAGCUGGGAUUACAGAUAGAGUACCAAAGAUAUAAUUUGAAGAGAGGAAAC
rnacentral:sRNA from 1 species